rnacentral:rRNA from 1 species
CUGGGUGUGGAAGUGCAGUAAUGCAUUAAGCUAACCAGUACUAAUUGCCCGUACGGCUUGUCCCU